GGGGCUGGUAUUGUGGAUGGUAAUGGGGCUGGUAUUGUGGAUGGUAUUGGGGCUAUAUUGUGGAUGGUAUUGGGGCUGGUAUUGGGGCUGGUAUUGGGCCUGGUUUUCUGGAUUGUAUUGGGGCUGGUAUUGGGGCUGGUAUUGGGGCUGGUAUUGUGGAUUGUAUUUGGGCUGGUAUUGUGAAUUGUAUUGGGGCUGGUAUUGGGGCUGGUAUUUGAGCUGGUAUUGGGGCUGGUAUUGUGGAUUGUAUUGGGGCUGGUAUUGUGAAUUGUAUUGGGGCUGGUAUUGGGGCUGGUAUUGGGGCUGGUAUUGGGGCUGGUAUUUGAGCUGGUAUUGGGGCUGGUUUGUGGAUUGUUUUGGGGCUGGUAUUGUGGAUUGUUUUGGGGCUGGUAUUGGGGCUGGUAUUGUGGAUUGUAUUGGGGCUGGUAUUGUGGAUUGUAUUGGGGCUGGUAUUUGAGCUGGUAUUGGGGCUGGUAUUGUGGAUUGUAUUGGGGCUGGUAUUGUGGAUUGUAUUGGGGCUGGUAUUUGAGCUGGUAUUGGGGCUGGUAUUGUGGAUUGUAUUGGGGCUGGCAUCGGGGCUGGUAUUUUUUAUUUUAUUUAUGUAUUAUUAUUUUUUUGCCCUUUUUCUCCCCAAUUACAUGAUGUCCAAUAGGUUGUUACAGUGUUGUCCCAUCGUUUCAACUCCAGUACAGACUCGGGAGAGCCAAAGGUUGAGAGCUGUGUGUUCUCUGAAUCACAAC
ensembl:lncRNA